rnacentral:ncRNA from 1 species
AUUAAUUAGGUUCUUAUUUGUUAAAUUAAGAUUAAAAGGGAAAAAGGUAAAUUCCUUUGCAGCCCCCGCUACUGUGAAACCGACGAAACUAUUAUAAACCACUGUCAUAUUUGAUGGGAAGGAGUAGGAGUAGGAUGAAGUUAAGCCAGGAGACCUGCCUAAGUUAAUU